GAUGAACGCUGGCGGCGUGCCUAACACAUGCAAGUCGAGCGAAAAGAGGAGGAGCUUGCCUCCUUUACGUUAGAGGGGCAGGCGUGAGUAACAUGUGGGUGAACCAGCCUGAAGGCGGGGAUAACCUAGGGAAAACGGUGCCUAUAACGGCAUAACGUCUCAAGAGCAAGGAGGAAUAGUGAAAGACGGCUUUGCUGCCGCUUAGCGAUGGAUCCGCGCCGCAUUAGCUAGUUGGUAAGGUAACGGCUUACCAAGGCCACGAUCCGUAGCAGACCUGAGAGGAUGACCGGCCACACUGGAACUGAGACACGGUCCAGACUCCUACGGGAGGCAGCAGUGGGGAAUCUUCCGCAAAGGGCGAAAGCCUGACGCAGCAACGCCGCGUGUAUGAAGAAGGUCUUCGGAUCGUAAAGUUCUGUUAUCAGGGAAGAACGAAUGUGUGUUUAACUCUGCACUUAUUGACGUUACCUGCACAGAAAGCCCCGGCUAACUACGUG
rnacentral:rRNA from 1 species